UCCUCCAGCCUUUGAGCUAUCGCUGCUUCGCGCAGCUAGUUGCCUGGGGCUGAUAAACCAGCGCCAGCUCUCUCCAGGAGCGCUCACUUUACCAAGCCCUUCCCAGCAAGGUUCAGAAAGGAUGCGCUUUGGUGAGAACGUGGCUCAGUCUUUCCGCGGAGCCGGAGAUGGGGGACCGCAACACAUUUUCGCUGGGGGACUCUUGAGGUUCUUUUUCGCCGUUCAACUCUACUCCUAAGGGAAGAAAGGCCUUUGAGUGGUAUAGACGGUCCCACUCCCUCAGCCCCACCCGCAACACCAUUACAUUGAAAAAGGCAAUCUGUUAGCUUUAGGAUAAAUCGGAUGUGAAGUAGCCUAAAGUAGACGAAGCAGAACCACGACUUAUGGAGGAGAGGAGACAGCCUUAUUUUUAAUCCAGUGUGAAAUAAGGUCCUGGUUCAUCCCUCUCUAAUCCUGUUUCCAAAGCACUACAUCAGCAAAGGCUUAGUUGUCAAAAAAAAAAAAAAAAAAAAAA